rnacentral:lncRNA from 1 species
GGAAUACUAGAUACACUUACUGAUUGGGGGAUUUGACCAGCAGUUGGCUGCAUUUCCAGCUAAGUCGUCAGCCUGGAUAUUGAUGAAUUUUUUUAAUAAGAGAACAUCUCUUUUUUAUCUAUGUCUCUGUCAAAAGUGAGUGAACACAGGACAUAGUGUUCACAGUUGAAGGAGCAGGUACCUCCAUAAAUCCGUUUCUCCAUGAGAACAACAAAAACAGCGAAACAAAAUACCCAGUCAACUUUUUCCGAACUCUGGAAGUCAACCAAAGGGAUCAAACUCAGGACCUUGCGCUUGUGAGGCAGGUGGCAGCACCACUGAGCUAAAUCCCCAAUCCACUACCGCAAUUCUUAUGAGAUAGCAUUAUCGUCAUUCUGCAGACGGGGAAAGAUUAUUUUUCAAGGUCACUGUGGUAGAUAUUUUACAAAGAUGGCUAUACCAUACCUCCAUCCUCUACAAUGUGGCCCUACCACUCCCUUCUUCCAGGGGAAAGACUGAAUCUCCUCCCCUUAAAUCUGGAUGGGGUUGUGAUUGUUUUGAC